AAAUCGGAGGAAAAGAAAAUAACCAUGAUUCCCUCAGUAACGGCGAGUGAAGCGGGAAAAGCUCAAAUUUGAAAUCUGUCAACAUUUCUUUUGUUGUCCGAGUUGUAAUUUCAAGAAGCUGCUUUGAGUGUAGACGAUCGGUCUAAGUUCCUUGGAACAGGACGUCAGAGAGGGUGAGAACCCCGUCUUUGGUCGAUUGGAUAUGCCAUAUAAAGCGCUUUCGAAGAGUCGAGUUGUUUGGGAAUGCAGCUCUAAAUGGGUGGUAAAUUUCAUCUAAAGCUAAAUAUUGGCGAGAGACCGAUAGCGAACAAGUAGAGUGAUCGAAAGAUGAAAAGAACUUUGAAAAGAGAGUUAAAUAGUACGUGAAAUUGCUGAAAGGGAAGCAUUGGAAAUCAGUCUUACCUGGGUGAGAUCAGUAGUCUCUUCGCGAGACUAUGCACUCUGAACCUGUGGUAGGUCAGCAUCAGUUUUCGGGGGCGGAAAAAGAAUAAGGGAAGGUGGCUUUCCGGGUUCUGCCUGGGGAGUGUUUAUAGCCCUUGUUGUAAUACGUCCACUGGGGACUGAGGACUGCGGCUUCGUGCCAAGGAUGCUGACAUAAUGGUUUUCAAUGGCCCGUCUU
rnacentral:rRNA from 1 species